CUGUCUCGAUCUAUGAACGAAUACACACAGAAAAAAUACACACAUUGCGAAUAAGCGUUUCUCGAAUGGAAUAAUUUUCGUUCGUGUUAUUUCGAUAAAAUAACAUAUUUUCAAGUAUCUCAUGUGGAAUACGUAUCCGACAGGAUCUAACCUCAAAAUGUUUGAGAUGGAAUGCUUGAAAGACGAUGGUUCGAAAUUGAAACGUUUCUGGUGGAAACUAUAGAAGCCUGCGAGCGAAGCAGGUGAGAAAAAGGUAAGUAAAAAAAGAAGCACGAAGCCAGGAUCGACGAUGUAAUAGAUUAUCGACGAUUAUCUUUCGCCUUAGGGGCGUAUUAUCAACGGCGGAUGCUUCCUUGCAAGGAUAUGCGAUGAAAGCGCGAUAGAAAAAAAGAUAAAUUACCCCAGAUAUCGUGUUCUUCCUUUAUCUUAGCCGACGUUGGUCCACAGAUUCUUGUCAGAACGUUUUAUCAAUCUGACACGGCAAACAAUCACCUACCAAAACGUUUCAAUAAAAUUUGCAAAUCGAACGAGCAAUCUUUUGAACUAUCAAUCGACCGAAGAGUAAGAACUGACGCGUUCACGAAUUUUCACAUCUCUCAGCUGCUGUGUACAGUUCAGAAAGUAAUUGUCAGCUCAACUGGAAAAUUUCUGACGAUCGAUGUCUCGCAAGUUAUCAUUUGACAUAAAAUUCGACUUCAAAAUCGUGGUACCAGAAACGACCGAAAAAUCAACUCGCUUUUGCCUCGCUUUUUAUCCCAACUAAAUUUUCAGAUAAAACACAAUGGACAAGCAAUUGAAACACGUCAAUGUAAGCGAGCAGUUGGGAGGAAAAUUUUACGCGAUACGAACAAGUGAUCCUUAAUUGUUGAGGUAGACUGAUAAAGGAACAAGUGGAUGAAUUUGUAAUAGAAAAAUAUAUUGAAAUAAGCAUAGGUACAUAGUGUAUGCUGACGCAGAUCUUGCUUGAUGCAGCUCUUGCAAUGUUGCAAUACAAUAGAAGAAGCUAUGAUAGGGAGCACGUUCAUAUAUUUGUAGCAAAGGACAUUAGCAAGAAGUUAGCCUUGGUGUGUAGCUCUAGCUGAAGGCUACAAGAAACAGCAAUAGAAAUCUACUUAUAGCUCUUUUGUUUCUAGACCUUGUAACCCAAUACAUAAUUCAUAUUUAAGGGCACAACAAUAUGCACCUCUCUUUAUUUUGAAUUUUGUUCACUACAUUCUAUUCUCUUCGAAACAGGUCAUGGAUAUACAAAAGAUAAGGUACAGAGUUUUUCUUGGAGUAAGUAUUUCAACAUUAAUAUUUAGAAAAUUUAUGUUUUUCUUCGUAUUGAUUAUUAAUAAAUUAUUGCUCGAAAAUACGAUUAAUUGUAGUUAAUUAGAGAAGUUUCGGAAUUCAAUUAACCGUGCAGAGUUUAGAAAGAACCUUAGAACGUUCUUGCUACAGUUUCUACUACUGUUUUUCAUCCUCGCACAUACGUUAAAACAAGUGCAACCGUAAAAAUCAGUUUUGCCUGUGAAUUGCAUUCUAUUCUCCGUUCGUUUCUCCUGCGUUCGCCUAAGCAACAGGAGCAUCCAGUCCAGUGCUACAGAUUGCUUCCGUUGCAAUGAACGUACGCGAAAUUAAAUAUUCAUACGCUUGGAAUUUCGCUACGACUGGCUAACAAGAUUUACGAUUCGACAUGGUCAUGUUCGCCCGAACUAUGCGUAUCGCGCCAUUAAAUUAACGACCAGAAGUUUCUUUAUCAUCGUAGACGUAUUAACAUAAAGGGUCACGUGUUCGUCUCGUACGCACGAGCAAGUUGCGAGAAUACGCGGCUACGCUUUUCCAAUUAUUUUCCUAUUCGUCGAUCCACGUCACGACCCACGUCAGCUGCAAUCUCUCGACCUGCUUGCGAAUCUACGCUUGUACGUAGAACGAACGAGCGAAAAGCUUGCCAAAUAUUUUCUCUGCUACAGUCUAUAACAUUUGUUUCGUACGACAAAAUUUUAUUCUGUAUCUUCGGCUUAUUUUCUUCACGUAGGAUCAUUUUCUACCCAGUUGUACUACGAUCGUCUCCACCCACUAUAAAUACGUUCAAUGGUACAAUUUAAAUUUCCUAGAUGUUUGUGAAGAAACGACUUGCUAUUCUAAUGAAAUAUCGUAUAAAUCCCUGUGAUACCAUUGUUUACGAUUGUUUAACUUGUCGCUGCUGGUAGUAGCCGCCAAUUAACCUUCAAAGUUUCAACCGGAUCCGAUAGAUGGCAACAUAGAUCGUAGACAAAGAACGCAUCACUGUACGACAAUGAACAGAUAUGGAAAUUAGUUGCACCUUUUCACCGCUACGUGGCGAUAGUGUUUCAAGAUCUAUAAAUCGAUCAAAUUUUUAUUUCGAAAAAAGAUCGACGAAAAUAACCUAAUAUUUAUAAAUGAAAGCGUACAUAUGACAACCAGGUUAUGUAGAGAAAUAUGUUUAAGCGAUUGAUGCCUGUAUUAUUUAAUGACAAUUAAUUAAUUGAUUCAGAUAAUCUUCAUUAAGACAUCGAUAAGAUAAGCUUUGGUAAGAUUUUGAUAAGCUAUGUCUUUCUCUGGACUUUGUUGUGAAAAGAAAUAUUUAAUUGACUCGUAUAAAGCAACGUUCUCAGUUAAUUUAAAUAUACUUUGUGUCAUAAUAAUUAAUUAAUUAAUCGAUAUAAGCUCUAUUAAGUCUUCAAUAAGAUGUUCUCGUGAAAAGAAAUACUUAAUCACGCCAUGUAAAGGCAUAAGACCCAUAGAAGCAUAAAGGCACGAUGAACUGAGAGCGUGGAGUAGAAGUCGGAGAUUAACGACGCGAAGGAAAAGCCGUGUUUCCAAAUGACUGCGUUGCAACGGGGAUUUACUACAUUUGCUGCAUCUAUAAUUAUAGGUAAUAAAGUCAGAGACGUGGAAACCAGAGCAGCAUCGGACUGUUGCACGAAAAUGUUCGUUAUCGAGGCGGUUGCAAAAAUUGCUUCCAGAAACUCGUGGCUGCGCCUCUUUCCGAGUAUAAACCUACCGAUUUCUCGCACAAUUUUAAUACCAACGCUUCCUAAUAGGAGAGCUCGCGUUAUUAUCGAAAGUCAAACUUUCUCGAGCGUCUUUACUCGUUUCGUUGAAUAGAAGCUACAUAACAGGGAAUUCCUAAUUGAACUAAAUAUUAAAAUUUUCCGCGUCAUCAAUUAGCGUAAAAUGAAAGUCUGUGGCUCUUCCAUCUGAUCCUGAUUAUUGCUUCUUCUUAUCUUUGCCAAAUAUAGUUUAUGCUCGUGCAAACUAAUGCAAUUAGCUAGAAUUGAAGAAAUGGUGUUCGUGAAAAAUCAGAAUUUAAUUGUAAUAUUUAUAUAAAAUUCUUCUGAUAAUACGGAAUAUAUGGAUUACUUAGAAGCCACGAUUUCGAACGAGAUAACAAUCGAAAGAUAAUAAUCUAUUAGUUAUAACCACUAUUAGUAUAACCAUCGUUAGACAUAAAUAUCCAACGAUCUGUUUUUCCAAAUUUAUCUCACUGUCACGAAGAUCUCAAUGGAGGAAUAAAAAUUAUUGUAAAAUACGAAAAGAGAAGAGAAUUCAAAACAUCAAAAUUUCCGAUUAUAUCCAUUCAUUGGUCUCCAAUGGCAUAGCUCAUGAUUAUUCGAGCGGUGCUAGAAAAUGUCACGAACAUAUGGGAAACGAUUAUUUAGAAGGAACGACACGAUGAAAGAAGUCAGCUUAUUUUUUAUUCACCAUCCCCACAGGGACAAUUCUCUGUCGAUAUUUAUCGAGCAUGUUUCUUACGACGUAGAAAAAGUCACGAUUAAAAUUAUUGUUCUUAGAAAAGGAAUUCCCUGACGGGGAAGCAAAUAAAUGUUUUUGCAAGGGUCUCCACGGGAACCCGCGCGAUCGUGUAAAAUUUUUAUUUUAAUCGUUUGUUUGUAGAUAAUUCCAACAUCGAAGAACACCGUCAUCGCGUGGCUUUUAUUUAUUAAUUAUUUAUUAAUAAUUCCACCGGGAGCAUCUUGUCUAAUUGACACGAUAAUUAUUCAUAUCGGUUGAAUUGUGUGAAAUUAUGAAAUUAUGCGAAACGUGAUCAUUUUCACGCAAUUAUUAAGAACUUUUUAUUCGUGAUAGUUUGAGAAAGUACGAUGUAUAUAGGAUGAUUUGUUGAACGUUUUGAACUCUAGUACAUAUAAUCUUUGCAUAUUUUCCGAUCUAAUCACGUUUUCCUUUCUUUUAAAAGGUUUCCUAAUUUUGGGACGAAUCUUCAUUUAAUACAUAGUUAAUUACAGCUUUUUCAUAUUAUUUUUUCCAAGGUAGAAAAUUUCUUAACGGAAAAAUUGAGUUGGACUAGAGAUGGACCAAGAUUUCGUAUUAUUAUUUAAUUUAAAAAUAUCCAGGAGCAAAAAAUAUAGAAAGGUCAAUCCAUCCGCAAGGGUUUAUGAUGAAAGCGUGUCGCGCUCGUGCAAACGAUUAAUUCUAUUCCCAGUGGUAUGAAACUUGCGGUGAGCUCCAUUAUUACGGCAAACAUAGUAUUUUCCACGGUGGAAAAUCCCUUAGGAGGUAUUUUUCACGGAACUAUGUAGGUACCAGAAACAUUAAUAAUUCAGAGAAAGCCAUUGUCGACUGCAACAUUUUUAACUAGGCUUUUAAAACACUACUUAUAUCCCAACAUUUUUCACGUUCAUAUUUUUAUAUAAAAAUUUGAUAAAAUUUGUCUCAGAAAUUAUAUAAUUCUAUGCACACAGAUAAUUCAAUAAAUUCAAUAAUUAGAUCUAUUUAAAUUUCAUCGAGACUGCGAAUAGAAAUCUUGUAUGCAAAUUACUAUGAGUAGGUGGUCUUCUCAUUUCGUAUUCGAUCAUUCGAAGAAUGACAAACAAAUCAUUAGUGAAAUAUUCGAUAUCGUCAGCCUAGCGAUGUUUCAGUGAAUCGACCAAAUUUCACUUUUCAGAGAACCUUAAUUUCCAUAAAAGGAAAUUCUGAAGCUUGACAUCGAUUUCAAGGUGCAUUUCUCAAAGAUGGGGCUUCGGAAACCCUUGAAUAUACCUGUCUAAUGAAAUGUAACAGAAAUCUACACAAUAUUAGGGUGAAAAUCAUGAGGCUAACGUGGUUGUUUUAUUAUGCUAAUAUAACGUGGCUUGACAUCGUGUUUCAAUUGAUUUUUCUUCGCGGGUAACGUACAAUAGUAUAAAUAGUUUAUCCAAUGUGGAAUUAUCUUCCAUUUCCUUGAAUUUCGAAUAAGGAGAUUUAUGAAAUUUACUCAAGUCUUUAAGAUGCUGAAGUUACUCAAAGAAAUUCGUUGCGAUACCGUAAUGGAGAUAAUUAUUAAAACAGAAUUGUAAUGGACACAAGGAAUGGAUGUAAAAAUUAAAGAGACGUGAAAAACAA